rnacentral:rRNA from 1 species
UACGGAGGGUGCAAGCGUUAUCCGGAUUCACUGGGUUUAAAGGGUGCGUAGGUGGGCAGGUAAGUCAGUGGUGAAAUCUCCGGGCUUAACCCGGAAACUGCCAUUGAUACUAUUUGUCUUGAAUACCGUGGAGGUCAGCGGAAUAUGUCAUGUAGCGGUGAAAUGCUUAGAUAUGACAUAGAACACCAAUUGCGAAGGCAGCUGGCUACGCGAAUAUUGACACUGAUGCACGAAAGCGUGGGGAUCAAACAGG